UAGUACCGGACGGAGAGGGCGAGUCGAGUGGCGGCGCUGGGCUUAGCCAGAUCGUGCGGCAGGGCGUGAGGCGAAGAAAAGAAACUUCUCCUUGGAUGGAAUUUGGUUGAAAGAAAAAUAAUAAAAAUGUACGAGGACAGAAGAAUUAAAAGCCAACAGCUUCUCCUGUCUCAAUAAAAUACUUACGGACAGAAGAAUCUUCCAGGUAGCACGCCAGCAGAACAAGAGACUCCAAUGAUGCCAGCUUCAAUGAUAGUGCCAUCCAGAGACGAGAGGGUCAUGGCACAUUCAACCGUGGCUUCCAGAGGUUUUGGAAAAGGAGCCUUUGGGGGCCCAACCUGCCUGGCAUUUUGAUGCUGUCGGUGUGGGGUUUGUAUUCCUUAACGGUGUGGGGAAGUAGGUUAAGCGCUUGCCGAAGCGUAUCCCAGACUCGGGAUGUGGUUGUUUGUUUGCUAGCAGUCUUAUUCCAUCUUACAUAAUAAUAGAGAAACAUGUAAAUUGACCGUACCUUCGCUAUGCCCACAGCCAAUCAGAGUGCGUAUGCAGAUUAACCAAACAAAGAUGGAGGUUAAUUUGCAGACAUUCCUGGUAACCACCUCAGCACCUAGGUCACUCCCAGCCGGCCAUGAAGGAAGGGGCCAAGCCUGCGAUUGGAGGGGCGGAGGGGGGGGCGGGGGGCACUUCCCAAGCCUAAAGCCUGGGGCUUGGGAAGGGGCCAAGCCUGCAACCAAACACAGACCAUCCGGUCUAGCCUGUCAACCCAGCACUGACUGCCCAGGUGGCUGAGACCCCAAAAGUGAGUCAGGGUCUGAUCUGCAGCCUCAGUGGAAGCUGUUGAUCAGUGUACUUACCUCUCUCUUUCUCUCCCUGCCUCGGAGAGGGCUGCGGUAAAACCUGCCUCUUUGAUCUGGCCCAGAAUAGGCCUGAAGAUGCUGACUGGCAUAGGAACUGACCAAUGAGAAAAAAAGGUGGGUUCUGUGGGGAGCCAAUGGCUGCCUAGGAGGCAGAGCUUUUGACGUUGACUGGCAUAGGAACUGACCAAUGAGAAAAAAAGGUGGCUGCUGUGGGGAGCCAAUGGCUGCCUAGGAGGCAGAGCUUUUGACGCUGACUGGCAUAGGAACCGACCAAUCAGAGCCAAAUCUUGGUGCUAUGGGGGGGGCCAAUGGCUGUCUAGG